rnacentral:rRNA from 1 species
GAUGAACGCUGGCGGCGUGCCUAAUACAUGCAAGUCGAGCGAACAGACGAGGAGCUUGCUCCUCUGACGUUAGCGGCGGACGGGUGAGUAACACGUGGAUAACCUACCUAUAAGACUGGGAUAACUUCGGGAAACCGGAGCUAAUACCGGAUAAUAUAUUUAACCGCAUGGUUCAAUAUUGAAAGACGGUUUUGCUGUCACUUAUAGAUUGAUCCGCGCCGCAUUAUCUAGUUGGUAAGGUAACGGCUUACCAAGGCAACGAUGCGUAGCCGACCUGAGAGGGUGAUCGGCCACACUGGAACUGAGACACGGUCCAGACUCCUACGGGAGGCAGCAGUAGGGAAUCUUCCGCAAUGGGCGAAAGCCUGACGGAGAAACGCCGCGUGAGUGAUGAAGGUCUUCGGAUCGUAAAACUCUGUUAUUAGGGAAGAACAAAUGUGUAAGUAACUAUGCACGUCUUGACGGUACCUAAUCAGAAAGCCACGGCUAACUACGUG